rnacentral:rRNA from 1 species
GUGAGGAAUAUUGGACAAUGGCCGGAAGGCUGAUCCAGCCAUGCCGCGUGAAGGAUAAGGUCCUAUGGAUUGUAAACUUCUUUUGAGUGGGAGCAAUAAGGAUGUCGUGACAUCCGAUGAGAGUACCAUUCGAAUAAGCAUCGGCUAACUCCGUGCCAGCAGCCGCGGUAAUACGGAGGAUGCGAGCGUUAUCCGGAUUUAUUGGGUUUAAAGGGUGCGUAGGCGGUUUUUCAAGUCAGCGGUGAAACGCAAGGGCUCAACCCUUGACCUGCCGUUGAAACUGUUGGACUAGAAUGCGGAUGCUGUGGGAGGAAUGUGUGGUGUAGCGGUGAAAUGCAUAGAUAUCACACAGAACACCGAUUGCGAAGGCAUCUCACAAAUCCGUGAUUGACGCUGAGGCACGAAAGUGUGGGGAUCAAACAGG